rnacentral:rRNA from 1 species
UCUUUGCUGACGAGUGGCGGACGGGUGAGUAAUGUCUGGGAAACUGCCUGAUGGAGGGGGAUAACUACUGGAAACGGUAGCUAAUACCGCAUAACGUCGCAAGACCAAAGAGGGGGACCUUCGGGCCUCUUGCCAUCGGAUGUGCCCAGAUGGGAUUAGCUGUAGGUGGGGUAACGGCUCACCUAGGCGACGAUCCCUAGCUGGUCUGAGAGGAUGACCAGCCACACUGGAACUGAGACACGGUCCAGACUCCUACGGGAGGCAGCAGUGGGGAAUAUUGCACAAUGGGCGCAAGCCUGAUGCAGCCAUGCCGCGUGUAUGAAGAAGGCCUUCGGGUUGUAAAGUACUUUCAGCGGGGAGGAAGGGAGUAAAGUUAAUACCUUUGCUCAUUGACGUUACCCGCAGAAGAAGCACCGGCUAACUCCGUGCCAGCAGCCGCGGUAAUACGGAGGGUGCAAGCGUUAAUCGGAAUUACUGGGCGUAAAGCGCACGCAGGCGGUUUGUUAAGUCAGAUGUGAAAUCCCCGGGCUCAACCUGGGAACUGCAUCUGAUACUGGCAAGCUUGAGUCUCGUAGAGGGGGGUAGAAUUCCAGGUGUAGCGGUGAAAUGCGUAGAGAUCUGGAGGAAUACCCGGUGGCGAAGGCGGCCCCCUGGACG